rnacentral:rRNA from 1 species
CGCCGCGUGCGGGAUGACGGCCUUCGGGUUGUAAACCGCUUUUAGUAGGGAAGAAGGGCUUCGGCUUGACGGUACCUGCAGAAAAAGGACCGGCUAACUACGUGCCAGCAGCCGCGGUAAUACCUAGGGUCCGAGCGUUGUCCGGAAUUAUUGGGCGUAAAGAGCUCGUAGGCGGUUUGUCGCGUCUGCUGUGAAAUCUGGAGGCUCAACCUCCAGCCUGCAGUGGGUACGGGCAGACUAGAGUGCGGUAGGGGAGAAUGGAAUUCCUGGUGUAGCGGUGGAAUGCGCAGAUAUCAGGAGGAACACCGAUGGCGAAGGCAGUUCUCUGGGCCGUAACUGACGCUGAGGAGCGAAAGCGUGGGGAGCGAACAGGAUUAGAUACCCUGGUAGUCCACGCCGUAAACGUUGGGCGCUAGAUGUGGGGACCUUUCCACGGUUUCCGUGUCGGACCUAACGCAUUAAACGCCCCGCCUGGGGAGUACGGCCGCAAGGCUAAAACUCACAGGAAUUGACGGGGGCCCGCACAAGCGGCGGAGCAUGCGGAUUAAUUCGAUGCAACACGAAGAACCUUACCAAGGCUUGACAUAACCGAGAACGCCCUAGAAAUAGGGAACUCU